UACGUAGGGUGCGAGCGUUAAUCGGAAUGACUGGGCGUAAAGGGCGCGUAGGUGGAUGUGUGUGUUGGAUGUGAAAGCCCCGGGCUUAACCUGGGAAUUGCAUACAAAACUGCACAUCUAGAGUAGAGCAGAGGUGAGUGGAAUUCCCAGUGUAGAGGUGAAAUUCGUAGAUAUUGGGAAGAACACCGGUGGCGAAGGCGGCUCACUGGCUCGUAACUGACGCUCAUGCACGACAGCGUGGGGGAUCAAACAGG
rnacentral:rRNA from 1 species